UCAAAAGAACAUGGGAGAAGUGGUCAGGC
rnacentral:piRNA from 1 species